GACGUAGGGCGCAAGCGUGUCCGGAUUUAUUGGGCGUAAAGAGCUCGUAGGCGGCUCGUUGCGUCGGCUGUGAAAACCCGCAGCUCAACUGUGGGCUUGCAGCCGAUACGGGCGGGCUGGAGUUCGGUAGGGGAGACUGGAAUUCCUGGUGUAGCGGUGAAAUGCGCAGAUAUCAGGAGGAACACCGGUGGCGAAGGCGGGUCUCUGGGCCGAUGACUGACGCUGAGGAGCGAAAGCGUGGGGAGCGAACAGG
rnacentral:rRNA from 1 species